AGGAGCCCGGUGCGCGAAUCGCGCACGCCGGGAUCUGCGCGGGGGUGCUCAGUAAUGGGCAUUCCUACCGCAAC
rnacentral:autocatalytically_spliced_intron from 1 species